rnacentral:rRNA from 1 species
UACGGAGGGAGCUAGCGUUGUUCGGAUUUACUGGGCGUAAAGCGCGCGUAGGCGGCUUUGUAAGUUAGGGGUGAAAGCCCGGUGCUUAACACCGGAAUUGCCUUUAAGACUGCAUCGCUUGAAUCCAGGAGAGGUGAGUGGAAUUCCGAGUGUAGAGGUGAAAUUCGUAGAUAUUCGGAAGAACACCAGUGGCGAAGGCGGCUCACUGGACUGGUAUUGACGCUGAGGUGCGACAGCGUGGGGAGCAAACAGG